UACGGGGGGAGCAAGCGUUGUUCGGAUUUACUGGGCGUAAAGGGCGCGUAGGCGGCCAGCACAAGUCGGUUGUGAAAUCUCCGGGCUUAACUCGGAAAGGUCAACCGAUACUGUGCGGCUAGAGUGCGGAAGGGGCAACUGGAAUUCUCGGUGUAGCGGUGAAAUGCUUAGAUAUGACAUAGAACACCGAUAGCGAAGGCAGCUUGCUACACAAUUAUUGACACUGAGGCACGAAAGCGUGGGGAUCAAACAGG
rnacentral:rRNA from 1 species